AUUUAACUAUUGAACUUUUUUUCUUUCAUAUUUUAUAUUCUUCAUAAAAAAACUAAAAGGAUUAAUUUUCUCCAAAUGUAUUGAAUAAAUUAGUAACAAGCGAGGUACAAUUUUUUCCAACUCGUUACAGUAAUCCUGUUUUAUUUGCAAGGUAUUUUUUAUCAUGAUAUAGAGAUCAGCCCACAACAUUCCACACGCUGUUUCACAUCGGAAAAAAAUUGAAAAUGUAAAUUACUCAAUACCGGACUAUAGUAUAUAAAGCGCGAUUUUUCAACCAUCUGUAUCAUUCGAUUUGCAGUCAUCGUUUGAAGCGUUUUAGCUGAAUUCUUUAUACGUUCAAAGUACAACCCAAACAAACCAACAAAAAUGUCUUCCAAAUUGUUCGUACUUUUCGCUGUGUUUGCCUUGGCUGCCGUCACCUUCGCCGCCGAAGAACAAACUUCAACCAAUGAACGUGUAAAGAAGGCCGUUUUACCCGCUGCUUAUCCAUACGCAUACGGUUACAAUUACGGAUACGCCUCCCCAUACAGCUACGGGUACGCUACCCCAUACAGCUACGCUUCAUACAACUCUUACCCAUACGGACACUCCGCUUACAACUACCCAAUGGCCAAAUCAGUCUACAGCGGAUACUACCCUCACAACUACGGAUACUACCCCCACAGCUACGGAUACUACCCAUACGCCUACUAAUAUCGUCUUCAUGUGAUACUUUUUCAACUCAUCUAAUGUAACUUGCAGCUCAAUGAAAUUAUCAGUGUUAUUCCUAUUUUUUUUUUAUUUAUAUAUUUUACAUAUAAAAUAAACAGAUUUUUUAAGCAUUAAAAA